AUUGAACGCUGGCGGCGUGCCUAAUACAUGCAAGUCGAACGCAGUGGGGACGGGUGAGUAACACGUGGGUAACCUCCCAUCAGAGGGGAUAACACUUGGAAACAGGUGCUAAACCGAUACUGAUGGAUGGACCCGCGGGGCAUUAGCUAGUUGGUGGGGUAACGGCUCACCAAGGCCACGAUGCAUAGCGGACCUUAGAGGGUGAUCAGCAACACUGGGACUGAGACACGGCCCAGACUCCUACGGGAGGCAUCAGUGGGGAAUCUUCGGCAAUGGACGAAAGUCUGACCGAGCAACGCCGCGUGAAUGAAGAAGGUUUUCGGGUCGUAAAACUCUGUUAUUAGAGAGGCGGUAUCUAACCAGAAAGCCACGGCUAACUACGUGCCAGCAGCCGCGGUAAUAC
rnacentral:rRNA from 1 species